rnacentral:rRNA from 1 species
ACUCAAAUGAAUUGACGGGGGCCCGCACAAGCGGUGGAGCAUGUGGAUUAAUUCGUCACUAACCGAAGAACCUUACCCAGGCUUGACAUCGAGGGAAAGCUUCUGAAAGGAAGUCCUCUCCGCAAGGAGACCCGAAGACAGGUGUUGCAUGGCUGUCGUCAGCUCGUGUCGUGAGAUGUUGGGUUAAGUCCCGCAACGAGCGCAACCCUCACCGUAUGUUGCCAGCGUCGAGUCGGGCACUCUUACGGAACUGCCCGUGCAAGCGGGAGGAAGGUGGGGACGACGUCAAGUCGGCAUGGCCCUUACGCCUGGGGCUUCACACAUGCUACAAUGGCCGGUACAGAGGGCUGCGAUCCCGCAAGGAGGAGCGAAUCCCAAAAAGCCGGCCCCAGUUCGGAUCGCGGGCUGCAACUCGCCCGCGUGAAGCCGGAAUCGCUAGUAACCGCAGGUCAGCUAAACUGCGGUGAAUACGUUCCCGGGCCUUGUACACACCGCCCGU